rnacentral:lncRNA from 10 species
AUGAGGUUCUUGCUAUGUUGCCUAGGCUGGUCUUGAACUUCUGGCCUCAAGAAAUCCUCCUCCUGAUCCUCCUACCUCAGCCUUCCAAAGUGUUGGGAUUACAGCACUGGCUAGAACUUCCAUCCCUGUGGUGAAUAAGAGUGAUGAAAGUGGACACCAUCGUAUUAUUGAAUUGAAGGGACACCUCUGAAAACGUGUUUAGAGAGAGAGUGAAGAAUGAGGGUGUACCUGGCGGAGCCACCAUCCUCUGCCACUUCUGAAACAAGCAGGUCUUCAGGCAGUCUCGGGGACUGAGGUUGUAAGUUUUAUGUCUCGACAUCAGUUCCUGCAUUGGCUCCAAUAUUACACACAACUGCAAGAAGUUCAAAGACAUUGGCAUUUCACUACUUCAUAACACUAAUUACAAUAAAUAAUGCUAACAGCUGGAAUCAAGUA